rnacentral:rRNA from 1 species
CGCUGGGGGGGUGCUUACACAUGCAGUCGACGGUGAAGCAGAGCUUGCUCUGUGGAUCAGUGGCGAACGGGUGAGUAACACGUGAGCAAUCUGCCCCUGACUCUGGGAUAAGCGCUGGAAACGGCGUCUAAUACCGGAUACGAGCUGCGACCGCAUGGUCAGUAGCUGGAAAGAAUUUCGGUCAGGGAUGAGCUCGCGGCCUAUCAGCUUGUUGGUGAGGUAAUGGCUCACCAAGGCGUCGACGGGUAGCCGGCCUGAGAGGGUGACCGGCCACACUGGGACUGAGACACGGCCCAGACUCCUACGGGAGGCAGCAGUGGGGAAUAUUGCACAAUGGGCGCAAGCCUGAUGCAGCAACGCCGCGUGAGGGAUGACGGCCUUCGGGUUGUAAACCUCUUUUAGCAGGGAAGAAGCGAAAGUGACGGUACCUGCAGAAAAAGCGCCGGCUAACUACGUGCCAGCAGCCGCGGUAAUACGUAGGGCGCAAGCGUUAUCCGGAAUUAUUGGGCGUAAAGAGCUCGUAGGCGGUCUGUCGCGUCUGCUGUGAAAACCCGAGGCUCAACCUCGGGCCUGCAGUGGGUACGGGCAGACUAGAGUGCGGUAGGGGAGAUUGGAAUUCCUGGUGUAGCGGUGGAAUGCGCAGAUAUCAGGAGGAACACCGAUGGCGAAGGCAGAUCUCUGGGCCGUAACUGACGCUGAGGAGCGAAAGGGUGGGGAGCAAACAGGCUUAGAUACCCUGGUAGUCCACCCCGUAAACGUUGGGAACUAGUUGUGGGGUCCAUUCCACGGAUUCCGUGACGCAGCUAACGCAUUAAGUUCCCCGCCUGGGGAGUACGGCCGCAAGGCUAAAACUCAAAGGAAUUGACGGGGACCCGCACAAGCGGCGGAGCAUGCGGAUUAAUUCGAUGCAACGCGAAGAACCUUACCAAGGCUUGACAUAUAGAGGAAACGUCUGGAAACAGUCGCCCCGCAAGGUCUCUAUACAGGUGGUGCAUGGUUGUCGUCAGCUCGUGUCGUGAGAUGUUGGGUUAAGUCCCGCAACGAGCGCAACCCUCGUUCUAUGUUGCCAGCACGUAAUGGUGGGAACUCAUGGGAUACUGCCGGGGUCAACUCGGAGGAAGGUGGGGAUGACGUCAAAUCAUCAUGCCCCUUAUGUCUUGGGCUUCACGCAUGCUACAAUGGCCGGUACAAAGGGCUGCAAUACCGUGAGGUGGAGCGAAUCCCAAAAAGCCGGUCCCAGUUCGGAUUGAGGUCUGCAACUCGACCUCAUGAAGUCGGAGUCGCUAGUAAUCGCAGAUCAGCAACGCUGCGGUGAAUACGUUCCCGGGUCUUGUACACACCGCCCGUCAAGUCAUGAAAGUCGGUAACACCUGAAGCCGGUGGCCCAACCCUUGUGGAGGGAGCCGUCGAAG